GAUGAACGUUGGCGGCGUGCCUAAUACAUGCAAGUCGAGCGAACAGAUGAGGAGCUUGCUCCUCUGACGUUAGCGGCGGACGGGUGAGUAACACGUGGAUAACCUACCUAUAAGACUGGGAUAACUUCGGGAAACCGGAGCUAAUACCGGAUAAUAUAUUGAACCGCAUGGUUCAAUAGUGAAAGACGGUUUUGCUGUCACUUAUAGAUGGAUCCGCGCCGCAUUAGCUAGUUGGUAAGGUAACGGCUUACCAAGGCAACGAUGCGUAGCCGACCUGAGAGGGUGAUCGGCCACACUGGAACUGAGACACGGUCCAGACUCCUACGGGAGGCAGCAGUAGGGAAUCUUCCGCAAUGGGCGAAAGCUUGACGGAGCAACGCCGCGUGAGUGAUGAAGGUCUUCGGAUCGUAAAACUCUGUUAUUAGGGAAGAACAAAUGUGUAAGUAACUAUGCACGUCUUGACGGUACCUAAUCAGAAAGCCACGGCUAACUACGUG
rnacentral:rRNA from 1 species